rnacentral:rRNA from 1 species
GUGGGGAAUCUUCCGCAAUGGACGAAAGUCUGACGGAGCAACGCCGCGUGAAUGAUGAAGGUCUUAGGAUUGUAAAAUUCUUUCACCGGGGACGAUAAUGACGGUACCCGGAGAAGAAGCUCCGGCUAACUUCGUGCCAGCAGCCGCGGUAAUACGAAGGGGGCUAGCGUUGCUCGGAAUUACUGGGCGUAAAGGGCGCGUAGGCGGACAGCUUAGUCAGAGCUGAAAGCCCAGGGCUCAACCUUGGAAUUGCCUUUGAUACUGGCUGUCUUGAGUUUGGGAGAGGUGAGUGGAACUCCGAGUGUAGAGGUGAAAUUCGUAGAUAUUCGGAAGAACACCAGUGGCGAAGGCGACUCACUGGCCCAAUACUGACGCUGAGGCGCGAAAGCGUGGGGAGCAAACAGGAUUAGAUACCCGUGUAGUCC